rnacentral:rRNA from 1 species
GAUGAACGCUGGCGGCGUGCCUAAUACAUGCAAGUCGAGCGAACAGAUGAGGAGCUUGCUCCUCUGACGUUAGCGGCGGACGGGUGAGUAACACGUGGAUAACAUACCUAUAAGACUGGGAUAACUUCGGGAAACCGGAGCUAAUACCGGAUAAUAUAUUGAACCGCAUGGUUCAAUAGUGAAAGACGGUUUUGCUGUCACUUAUAGAUGGAUCCGCGCCGCAUUAGCUAGUUGGUAAGGUAACGGCUUACCAAGGCAACGAUGCGUAGCCGACCUGAGAGGGUGAUCGGCCACACUGGAACUGAGACACGGUCCAGACUCCUACGGGAGGCAGCAGUAGGGAAUCUUCCGCAAUGGGCGAAAGCCUGACGGAGCAACGCCGCGUGAGUGAUGAAGGUCUUCGGAUCGUAAAACUCUGUUAUUAGGGAAGAACAAAUGUGUAAGUAACUAUGCACGUCUUGACGGUACCUAAUCAGAAAGCCACGGCUAACUACGUG